CCAGCAGUUCUUCUGGUUUCUUCUGGCAAAACCACCUAUACUCCUUUGGGAAAAAGAAGCAAACAUUUAAUGUGGUUUCUUGAGGCUUGUCCAUCUCGAUGUCUUGUCAAAAACAAGUAUAUGGUCUAAGCAGGUCAUGGGAUUGGAUUCAAGAUUUUUUCUUCGUUAAGGGAGAUGACACAAAUCACUUUUUCUUCCCCAAAGGAGAAUAAAGUGGACUUUAAUAAAGAUGGAAACAUAUGCAACCCUACAUCUGGGCAAAAGUUUUUUUUUUAUAUCUCUCUUCACCCUAAGAAGAAAGGAAUCAUAGUACAUUCAGAGCUCUGGUUACACAACCAGACUGCAAUCAAGGAGCCAAUCGGUGUAUUCAAAAGAAGAAUCAUCAUCAAUAUGUUUCUUUGGCAUUAUCUUGAGAAUGAAUUCAGCACUCUCCUCUGGACUUAACUCUAACAAAGCCUUCACUACAACAAAAAACACUUUCUUGUGGACAGUAUCAUUUGAGCAUCCUCAGCUCAAGAGGUCAAUCACUGCUCUGAAUAGUAAAAUCAUCAUCAAUAUGUUUCUAUUUACUGAUCUUCUAGAUAUGGCUUGUAUACUGAGUAUCUGCAAUUUGCCCCUCCAGCUCCAUUCUUUCACCAUUUUCUACCCUAUUCUACAGCCUCUGUGGUGGCUCAGCAGUUAAGCGUCUGCCUUGGGCCCAUGCUGUGAUCCUGGAGUCCCGGGAUGGAGUCCCACAUCAGGCUCCCUGCAUGGAGCCUGCUUCUCCCUCUGCUUGUGUCACAGCCUCUCUCUCUCUCUCUCUCUCUCUCAUGAAUAGAUAAAUAAAAUCAUAAAUAAAUAAAUAAAUAAAUAAAUA
rnacentral:lncRNA from 12 species